rnacentral:rRNA from 1 species
GACGAACGCUGGCGGCGUGCCUAAUACAUGCAAGUCGAACGCAGUGGGGACGGGUGAGUAACACGUGGGUAACCUCCCAUCAGAGGGGAUAACACUUGGAAACAGGUGCUAAACCGAUACUGAUGGAUGGACCCGCGGUGAAUUGGCUGGUUGGUGAGGUAAUGGCUCAGCAAGGCCACGAUGCAUAGCGGGCCUGAGAGGGUGAUCGGCCACACGUGGACUGAGACACGUCCCAGACUCGUACGGGAGGCAGCGGUAGGGACUCUUCGGCUACGGACGGAAGUCUGACGUAGCAACGCGGCGUGAGUGAAGAAGGUUUUCGGAGCGUAAAGCUCUGUUGUAAGAGGAGCGGUGUCUUACCAGAAAGGGACGGCUACCUACGUGCCAGCAGCCGCGGUAAUAC